rnacentral:rRNA from 1 species
GAUGAACGCUGGCGGCGUGUCUAAUACAUGCAAGUCGAGCGAACAGACGAGGAGCUUGCUCCUCUGACGUUAGCGGCGGACGGGUGAGUAACACGUGGAUAACCUACCUAUAAGACUGGGAUAACUUCGGGAAACCGGAGCUAAUACCGGAUAAUAUAUUGAACCGCAUGGUUCAAUAGUGAAAGACGGUUUUGCUGUCACUUAUAGAUGGAUCCGCGCCGCAUUAGCUAGUUGGUAAGGUAACGGCUUACCAAGGCAACGAUGCGUAGCCGACCUGAGAGGGUGAUCGGCCACACUGGAACUGAGACACGGUCCAGACUCCUACGGGAGGCAGCAGUAGGGAAUCUUCCGCAAUGGGCGAAAGCCUGACGGAGCAACGCCGCGUGAAUGAUGAAGGUCUUCGGAUCGUAAAACUCUGUUAUUAGGGAAGAACAAAUGUGUAAGUAACUAUGCACGUCUUGACGGUACCUAAUCAGAAAGCCACGGCUAACUACGUG